rfam:Schistosoma curassoni strain Dakar, Senegal genome assembly, scaffold: SCTD_contig0002057
GUGCGGCUGACGAGUCCUAAAUAGGACGAAACCCGCGUCUUGGAU